rnacentral:rRNA from 1 species
AUUGAACGCUGGCGGCAUGCCUAACACAUGCAAGUCGAACGGCAGCACGGCAGUAGCAAUACUGUGGGUGGCGAGUGGCGGACGGGUGAGGAAUACGUCGGAAUCUGCCCAGUCGUGGGGGAUAACUAGCCGAAAGGUUAGCUAAUACCGCAUACGUCCUACGGGAGAAAGAGGGCCUCUGCUUGCACGCUCUCACUCCAGGAUGAGCCCACGUCCGAUUAGCUAGUUGGUAGGGUAAAGGCCUACCAAGGCCACGAUCGGUAGCUGGUCUGAGAGGAUGAUCAGCCACACUGGGACUGAGACACGGCCCAGACUCCUACGGGAGGCAGCAGUGGGGAAUAUUGGACAAUGGGCGCAAGCCUGAUCCAGCAAUGCCGCGUGUGUGAAGAAGGCCUGCGGGUUGUAAAGCACUUUCAGUGGGAAGAACAGAUCGGGUCAAUACCCCGGAGCCCUGACGUUACCCACAGAAGAAGCACCGG